rnacentral:rRNA from 1 species
AUGUGUGUCCCAAAGGAGAGAGGAGGUAUGGGAUUCCGUGACAUUCAUAGUUUCAAUUUGGCUAUGCUGGCAAAACAGUGUUGGAGGCUUAUUGAGAACUUUGACUCUUUGUGUGCACGAGUUUUAAGGGCAAAGUACUAUCCUUCAGGUGACAUUCUAAACUGCGAGUUAAAAAAGGGCUCAUCUUAUGUGUGGCAAAGUAUAUGGGCUGGGGUACAAACCUUCAAGAAAGGUUAUAUUUGGAGGGUAGGGGAUGGAGCAAAGAUCCAUAUUUGA